AGCUGAACUGCUCAGAUGUCCUAAGUGGUUAGAGCGUCCGCCUCAGAUGUGGGAGGUCGCGGGUUCGAACCACGUCAAAGCUA